GGAGAUCUCUCCUUUGUGGAGUCUUUUCUGUGAACCUACAUCUUUGGGUACAGAUGCGCUGCUGCCAGUGAGAAGUCAGCAAUUAGCAACAGGACCCCACCCAUAAAUUAACAGUGGUAUCUGGGACAGAGUGUACCAUACGCUGGUGUAAAUCCAAGCCAUGUCUCUGGGGAAAGGCAUCUCUAGUUCAGUACAAAAUAUUGGAUUUGUGCACAGUGAUAACAGAGAUGCUUCCAUAGAUGAGCCCCACUGACAUAUGGCAGGUCCAAAUCCACACCACCUCGGGCAGACUACAGCUGUUCCUGUUUCCUGGUUUCAUAACCUAUUGGCUUCAUAAAGGCGGCACACACUUUUCUUAAAAUUGUAUUUCCAAGAAAUCCUCUGACUGGGUUGUGGUUCAACACUUGUCUCCUGCUGAAGUCUCUGUGACACUUAAAGUUGUAUCUUUAAGUCUUUGCGAGGUGCUUGAGACAAACAAUUUCCAAUUAAUAAAAACCUUGGCAGCAGAGGGGCAGUCUGACAAAAUGACAUCUGAUGUGGAAGUGUAUAUGAAGCAAAGGGGUGUCAUUGAAUUCAUGCAUGCAGAGAAAAUUGUACCCACCGACAUUCAUGACUGCUUGCUGAAUGUUUAUGGAGACUACGGUGGAUGUGAACACGGUGAGGUGGUGAGUGGUGUGUUUCAACAGUGAUGACACAGAAAGGCAAGCCAUGUCACACCGUGAAAUGAAGUGCUUCUUGUUCAGCUUGUUCUCAUGAAUCAGUGGAUUACAAUUAGGGAACUGAGUACGGAACUGGAUAUCGGCUUCAGUGCAUUGGAAAUGAUGGCUCCAGCAUUAGAAUAUUGCAGUUUGCUCCAGGUGGGAUGUUCGCACAGGACUAGAAAAAAUACUGUAUGGAAGUUUGUCAGGAUCUAUUGAGUAAAUACAAGGCUGAAAGUAAGUUUCCUGUUAAGAUGUGUCAAAACAACAGUCCAUGGAGUGAUGACGUGACUUUCCCACUGAAGAAAAAGACUCAGCAGGUAAAUUAAUGUGCAGCCUUCUGGGAUAGGGCAGGAGAGCUCCUUCUGGAUUUCCUGGAACCCAGAUAAACCAUCAUAUGACUCGUACAUCACAACACCAACUAAGCUGAAGGCUCAAACUUCCAGAGUCAGGCCAGAGAAGAUGACAACAUCAGGCCCUGCAUCAGUUUAAACACUGUGGAGCAUAUUGCCAGUUUUGACUGGACUGUCCUAUCAGUCAAGUACCUACUAGUUUGGAUUUGAUGCCUUCUAACUUCCCUCUGUUUGGGUCAAUGGAGGAUGGACUGUAUGGGCAACUUUUUCCUAUAAUAUGGAUGCUAUUGUAGCAGCUGUGAAACUGCCAUCCUUGUUUCAGAUUUUGACAAGCAUGGCAUGCAGGCUCUUGUUCACUCCUGGCAAAAAUGUUUUGCUAGUGGUGAUGACCGUGUUGAAAAAUAGUGUUUGUAGUUAAGAAUUUGUGCUAUCAAAUGGUGCUAUUGUGCUUUUUGUCUGUUGCAGUUUUCAUGGAAGUAAGAGGCAUUGCUUUUGUAGGAGUGACCUACAUACAGCAGGAUCAUUAUCACAGAUAUCCUAUAGAUAUCAGUGUGUUUUAUCAUCAAUCCCUCUGGCUGUGGCAUCCAUAAGUUGUAGAAACAGCCAGUGAAGGAUCAAGUCAGCCUCUUCAGUAUCUCACUCUGCUGGCUCAUUGAAGUAGAUUUGUUCUCUUUGUGAACGGUGGCUUGGUGUGAAUUAUUCUGGCAGUUUUUGACUUAGUAACAACGCUUCCAAAGUUAGGUGUGCAGGCACUAUCUUCUAAAUUGUGCACUCUUUUCCAAGAACAGCCUUAGUUGGUUUUAUUCAUGACCUUGUUUAGACAUUUACGCCUCCAAAAAUGAAGCUUCAAAUCGUGCAACUAAAGGAACUUCAAUUGUCUACAAGAAAUUAUCCACACUGCUAAAAAUAAAGCUUUCAUUUUUUGGGCAAAAUGUCAGAUGUCAAAACUUGGGCAUUUUGCAGUUUAAUUCACUCUGGUCUUGCAAUUUAGUUCUGUAGAUAACUGAAGGAAAAUUAUUUAAAACUAGUGCUGUAAGGCGAAGCUUUGUGGAUACGUCUGUAGAGUUUCUUGUAGUGACCAAGUAUUUAAAAGAAUGAUGAUGAAGUGAGAGUCAGAGUUGUCACCUUUCUCAGGACCACAAUGAUACUAAUAUUCUGUGUGUGCAAGAAACACGCUUGGGACACUGCAGGGAUUUAAUAACUGCAUAUCUCUGCAAACAGAUUGUGCUGAAGGAACAACUGUUCUCAGAGCUGGGGCCAGUGCUGUGCAGAAAUGUAGGAACUGGAAUUGGGGGUGAAGGCAGCAGUGAUAGCUGCCAAAGUGUGGGGCUUGUAGAUACCUUUUUCUUUAGGACAUAGGAAAGCUUGUAGAGUGGUAUCACAGAACUUACUCUGCAUGCACACAGACAAAUGAAAGCUUUUGUGCAAAUUCAUCUUAGGAAAAGCAAGUGCUAUUUAUUUAAACGCAUUGUGUCAGUGGAUAUCAUUUUGCAAGCAUCAGGAUUGGACUCUGAAACAUCAUGCAAAUACAGUGAUGGUGUAUAUACACAACUGUAUACCCACUGAACUGUGCUUCAUUUGUUCUUAGUGCCAGUGAAAGCAAAGCAGCCUCCAGCUGAUUAAGGGGAAAAGUCACGGCUGCUAGAAGCCAGGACCUGAUUUAGAAAGCUACUGCUCUGCUUCAAAUAACUGAAGUUAGGAAAGUCCCUUGAAUUUAACCCUAACUUUCUUGUUAUCAGGGAUGGGAGGUGAAUAAGCUGAUGAUUCUUGUUAGUGGUUUUUAAUAGUUUAUCUGUCCACAGUCAGUUUCCAGAGUAACAUGUUUUAUUGCAUUUUUUUUCACAGAAACAGUAAUUUUCAGAAGAGAAAUAAAUAAUCUUAUGGCUCACAGCAAAGGUUCUGUAUUCACUGGAGACCUCUGGUGUAACAGCUGAAUUAAUCAUGAAUAGCUGAACUCUCUCCUGCAGUGGCAUGCCAGAAUCAUUUCCUUGCCAGUGUCUUUGCUUCCUUUCUACUGUCCCCAUAAAGUUGCUACUCUCUGCCUCCUCCUGCAGUGUGGGGCUGCUCCCUGCCCAGUUCCAUCAAAGUGGAUGUCUUGCCUCAUUUUUUCAGCAUCGUUCUGUUGAACUUCAGGUCUUGUGCUCUAAGCAUUGUCCUGACAACCAGUGGGAAAACUCCCACUGUUUUUUAUGGUCUUUGAUACAGUCCUUGCUGAUGUACCACCUUGAAAUCAACCUCUUGCACUGUGUGCUCAUCUGCUUUCUUGCACUGUAAAAAGGCAUGCUGCUCUAGGGUGUGCUGUGUGGUGUGACAUCCCUGGCUCCGCUGCUUCUAGCAGCUUUUGGAAAGAUUACUUUGUGCUAUUUGAGUGUGUCCUGGGCAGCAGCUGGAGGGAAUCUAGGGGACAAAGCACUGCCUACAGAGUUAUGGUUGACAGAAAACACCAAGAUGUGUUGGGAGGUUGUGUGAAGCAGUACCCAUAAUUAUGGCAUGUGUUUUAAGUCACUCUUAAUGAACAGCAAGUUUCAAUUUCACAGGUCUGAAGACUUUUGAUACUACUAUUCAGCAUGAGAUAUAUAAGGUGCAAUGACAGCUAUCAGUUCAGUGAGAUCUGCGGCAAAGCAGGAGAUUGACAGGAUGUAAUGGAGGUGGUAUGAAAGGAUUUGGACUAGAUAAAAGCUUGAUUUCAGAUACUGGCCGAACUUGUUGGAAACAAAGACUGAGCUGGUAUGGAGCAUUAGUGUUAUGGGAAGAGUUGAGAGAAGGAUGAUAGCUUUUUAGAUACUCUCUCACUGGUAAAAAAAAAAAAGUUCUGAGAAGUAAGUUUUAAAUGAUGUUCAGGAUAACUAAACAGCCCACAAGAGUGCUUGAGGUGUGCUGUGAAUUCAGACAUCUCUGAGCUGUAGAGAGAUAGUGAGUUGAU